AAUCCAUAGGUUAAUGAGGCGAACCGGGGGAACUGAAACAUCUAAGUACCCCGAGGAAAAGAAAUCAACCGAGAUUCCCCCAGUAGCGGCGAGCGAACGGGGAGGAGCCCAGAGCCUGAAUCAGCAUGUGUGUUAGUGGAAGCGUCUGGAAAGGCGCGCGAUACAGGGUGACAGCCCCGUACACAAAAGCGCAUGUGCUGUGAGCUCGAUGAGUAGGGCGGGACACGUGGUAUCCUGUCUGAAUAUGGGGGGACCAUCCUCCAAGGCUAAAUACUCCUGACUGACCGAUAGUGAACCAGUACCGUGAGGGAAAGGCGAAAAGAACCCCGGCGAGGGGAGUGAAAAAGAACCUGAAACCGUGUACGUACAAGCAGUGGGAGCACAGGUUUACCUGUGUGACUGCGUACCUUUUGUAUAAUGGGUCAGCGACUUAUAUUCUGUAGCAAGGUUAAC
rnacentral:rRNA from 4 species